ACUCCUACGGGAGGCAGCAGUGGGGAAUUUUGGACAAUGGGGGCAACCCUGAUCCAGCCAUGCCGCGUGAGUGAAGAAGGCCUUCGGGUUGUAAAGCUCUUUCAGACGGAAAGAAACGGUCACGGCCAAUACCCGUGACUAAUGACGGUACCGUAAGAAGAAGCACCGGCUAACUACGUGCCAGCAGCCGCGGUAAUACGUAGGGUGCGAGCGUUAAUCGGAAUUACUGGGCGUAAAGCGUGCGCAGGCGGUUUGGUAAGACAGACGUGAAAUCCCCGGGCUUAACCUGGGAACUGCGUUUGUGACUGUCAGACUAGAGUGUAGCAGAGGGGGGUAGAAUUCCGCGUGUAGCAGUGAAAUGCGUAGAUAUGCGGAGGAAUACCGAUGGCGAAGGCAGCCCCCUGGGCUAACACUGACGCUCAUGCACGAAAGCGUGGGGAGCAAACAGGAUUAGAUACCCUGGUAGUCCACGCCCUAAACGAUGUCAACUAGGUGUUGGGGAAGGAGACUUCUUUAGUACCGCAGCUAACGCGUGAAGUUGACCGCCUGG
rnacentral:rRNA from 1 species